AGUGAACGCUGGCGGUAGGCUUAACACAUGCAAGUCGAACGGCAGCACCGUAAUUGCUUGCUCUUCCGGGUGGCGAGUGGCGUACGGGUGAGGAAUAUAUCGGACUCUACUCUUUCGUGGGGGUUCACGUAGGGAAACUUACGCCAAUACAGCAUCCGCCCUACGAGUGAAAGCAGGGGAUCUUCGGACCUUGUGCGAUUGAAUUAGCCGAUGUCGGAUUAGCUGGUUGGCGGGGUAAUGGCCCACGCUGGCGCCGAUCCGUAGCUGGUCGGAGAGGAUGGUCAGCGACACUGGAACGUGAACGGGGACCAGGCGCCUGCGGGAGGGAGCAGUGUGGAAUAGGAGACAAUGGUCGGGAGCCUGAUCCAGCCAUACCGCGUGUGUGAAGAAAGCCUUCGGGUUGUAAAGCCCUUUUGUUGGGAAAGAAAAGCAGCAGGUUAAUACCCCGCGGUAGUGACGGUACCCAAAGAAGAAGCACCGGCUAACUUCGUG
rnacentral:rRNA from 1 species